rnacentral:rRNA from 1 species
GACGUAGGGCGCGAGCGUUGUCCGGAUUUAUUGGGCGUAAAGAGCUCGUAGGCGGCCUGUCGCGUCGACUGUGAAAACUCACGGCUCAACCGUGGGACUGCAGUCGAUACGGGCAGGCUAGAGUUCGGUAGGGGAGACUGGAAUUCCUGGUGUAGCGGUGAAAUGCGCAGAGUAUCAGGAGGAACACCGGUGGCGAAGGCGGAUCUCUGGGCCGUAACUGACGCUGAGGAGCGAAAGCAUGGGGAGCGAACAGG